GCGGGGACGCGCACAGGCGCGCUCCCGCUGCCCUGCAGGCAAGCCGGAAGAAGAGCGGUGCAGGACCAGGACCAGGACCGGGACCGGGACCAGAACCAGAACCGGGACCGGGACCAGGACCGGAACUAGACCAGACCUGGACCAUGCACCUGCUUACCCUGAUCUGGAGAUACUCCGCACAUUUAAUCCACUCUCUCCUCUCAUAGGUUUUAAAUUUUUAGCACAUCUGUUACAUUUUUUUCUUAAAAAAAAAAGGAAAAGUCUCGAUCGACGUUACAGGUCAGCAGUGACUCCCAAGACAAAUGUAAGGAACUCUUUCAGCACAUUAGAAACCAGAGUCUGUAUGAAGAUGAUCAUCUGUCCUACUUGUAUCACGUGGUCAGUAACUGUCAACGUUUACCGAAGCUCCGCCCCCCUGCUGUCAAUCAAAUCUCUGGACUGACCAACCGUAAUAAUAUAACAUAAGGAAACCAACAGAUUGGAACCAAUCUUUCUUGCCCCCUGUCCUGACCCAGCCCCGGGCGACUAAACUCCCCUCCGUGUGACAGAGCCAGACUCAGGAAGGACCGGUUGGAGGUGGAGAGGACAGGAAAGAGGAGAGAACAAACACAACAGAUCAGGGACCCCUGCUGGAAAGAAGGAACACGGGUUCAUAACAAGUGUCAGUAAUAGAGUUGGAGCAGAAGAGAGGCGAGUGAGGAGAGGUGCAUCAUGGGAGGUGUGUCUGCUUCCAGAGGAGAGGAACCUGAUACCUGAAGGUUCUACCUGCUCAGUAGCGGAACAUAUCAACGCCGGGCCGGCUCUGAUGUAAGCCCAGUGGAUAUUUAAAGCUUACAGAAGGCUGCAUUUAACUGCUGCUAUGUCAUUCCUGCAGUAUUUCUGCAGGUGUUUUGGUCACUGCUAUUAUUUGUAAUAUAUUAUAUUAUUUGUAAUCAGCACAAAUUAUCUGUCCCCAUAUGAUAAAAUCCACCAUCCCCCCUGAUUUAUUUUACAACUCCAGUACUGUAGGUACCAUAAGUAAACGUGCUGUCUGAAGUGCUCUGCUUAGAAAAUAUAGAACUAUGAGCUCUUUGAGAUAUGAUGGACGUUGGUCAUUAAGAGCUUUAGAUGUGAGGAGACGAAGUAUGAAUGAUCUGGCAGCUAAUGGAGAGAAGCUGAAACUGGGGAUCUCUCCAGCCGGUUCUCCUCAGAACCCUGGCUGUACCAUUCUAGGUGAGGAGGAGGUUAUAGAGAGAGUUUUUAGGACAACCUGAUAAUAAAGAAUUACGAUAGUCCAAUCUUGAAAAAACAAAUGCAUGGAUCAGUUUUUCUGGCUCAGUCCUUAGACAGAUGUUACUCAUUUUAGUAAUAUUACGAAGAGGAAAAAAGGGCGGUCUUAGAAACCUGUUUAAUAUUUUGACGACUUUGACGACGCGCCGUCUCAUCCACUGGAACAGUUUUAUCUAGAAAGCAGUCCUUGGUCUACUCCCACAUUAUUUAUGCAACUACAUUUCCAGAACCCACAGCAAUUACUGCUUACAUUCCAAUGAUUUAUAUCUGCUAAACGUGCCAAAGGUGCAUUCUGAACCAGGUAAACACUGUUUUAAGUUCUUUGCAACUGCUGCCUGAACUCCCUACAGAAGACACUCAAUCUGAAGGAUCAUCUCUGUUGGACAUUUGAAAAGCCAUAUGAAGGAUCUUGCAGCAGUUACUUUUCACACUUGUUGUUGUUUUAAUGUAAAUUCUGAAUCUUGUGUUUUAACCUAGAACACAUUUUUAUUUAUCUUGUUGAGUGUUGAGUAUUUUAUUGAAUUAUUUUAUUGAAUGAGUUGGUGGUGUCUGUUUUUAAUUGCUGCACUUUAAAUGUUUUUCUGGCUGCUGUCUUGGCCAGGCUUCCCUUGAAAAAGAGGUCAUUGUAUCUCAACGGGACCGACCUGGUUAAAUAAAGGUUAAAUAAAAAAAUACCAAAAUA